GCAUUUACCUGGCCGGGGAGAUGCCAUGAGCACGAAGGUGGCUUUGCCAGGGGAGGCUCACCCAUUGUAUUCUGGCCGUGCUGACCCCUGCGAUCUCCCCAAGUGCUGGAGACUCCACUGCAUAAUAUGUGAUAGUGGGGAACUGUGUUCACACCUUCCCC
rnacentral:snRNA from 1 species